UUUUUCAGUAGUUUUAAGACAUGCGAAUUGUUAAUCUCGAAUUUAUUCUAGUAAUAAUACUAGGGAUUAAAGUGUAGAGGUGAGUAAUAGUAAAUAAGAUUCCCCUUAGUCUUCACAAAUGGGAGAUAUUUUCCAAUAGGAAAAGGUAAAAAAGCUAUUUUAUCAAUAAAGGAAAUUUUCUGCUAAGGGAUUCUAUUUACCUCGAUUAGGUAGUUGGUGGGGUAAAGGCCUACCAAGCCGACAAUCGAUAGCCAAGCUUGAGAGAGCAAAUGGCCACAUUGGGAGUGAAAUGCCCCAAGUAGAUUUUUAUGCAAUGUAUAUCUUUACUUAUUUCCUUAUUAAAGAUAGUAAAUAUUAGAUACUUAAUUUUUUUGUAAUAACACUAAUAUUAUAUAUUUAAUAUUUGUUUGUAUAAACACGCUACCAGCAGUCAAGAAUAUUAGUCAAUGCUCGCAAGAGUGAACUAGCUAACUGAAAUCGUAUAAGUGUCUUAUGUGAUGUCGUAAGGGAAAAUAAUGAUAUUACCUUACUAAUAGUGUCGUCUAAAACUGGUGCCAGAAGACUCGGUAAGGCCAGAGACACGAAUGUUAAUCGUCUUAAUCAGGCGUAAAGGGUUUGUAGGCUGCUUUGAAAGUAUUGAUUUAGUAUAGCUAAAAUAAAUCAAUAUGAAUUAAAGCUAGAAUCUAAUAGAGGAUAUUUACGAAAUAAUGCUUGGUCGAGGGCUGAUAUCCUAAGACAUCAAGUGGAAUUCCAAUGGCGUAAGCAUUUAUCCAUUAAAGAUUGACGCUGAGAAACGAAGGUGAGGAUAGGAAAUAGGAUUAGAUACCCAGAUACCCCUCUCUGUCAACGAUGAAUGGUAGUUGUUAGUUUAAGACAAACUAGUGACGAAGUUAACACGAUAACCAUUCCGCCUUGUGAGUACGACUGCAAAGUUGAAAACAAAAAAAUUAGUCGGUCUCGGAGCAAACGAAGUGAAGUAUGUUGUUUAAUACGAUAACCCGCGUAAAAUCUUACCAGUUUCUUGAAUACAAACCUCUUAUUUUUUAGGAGGGAGUGUUUUUUAAUUUAUAUUAAAUAAUGCUUAGAUACAGGUGUUGCAUGGCUGUCGUCAGCCCGUAUUGUAAGAAGUUAGGUUAACUCCACAAACGGGCAAAAUCCCUGUAAUUAAUUUAUACUUAAUUAUUAAUGAUACUUAAAUAGUUUCAUUUGGGGCUAAGACAAGUCGUUAUGGCCCUCAUGAUCUGGGCUACAGACGUGCCAUUAAAACUUUUACAAAGUGACGCUAUACCCUUUUUCCUCUAAUUUUAAUUAGAAAAUAUGGAAAAUAUUAAGGAGGAGCUAAUCAUUAAAAAAAGUUAUUUAUAUGAACUGAUUACCGAUUGUCACCUGAAAUUCGGUGGCAUGAAGUAGGAAUUUCGAGUAAUCGUUGAUCAUUAGCGCAACGGUGAAGCUUAAAUCCGUGAUGAACUAACUGUCUGUCGCUGGGGAGGAGCUCGGACAGGAGGAAACUGGAGGAAUAUUUUUUAUUUACAUCGUUUAGUUUUAUUGUUAAAUAUUAGUGUAUAAUUAAUAUUUAAUCUAUUAAUUAAAGGAAGAAUUCUAUUAAAAAAAAACAGCGAUGUUAAAUUAAUUUACUUUAGUUAAUUCGUUUGG
rnacentral:rRNA from 1 species